GACAGAGGAUGCAAGCGUUAUCCGGAAUGAUUGGGCGUAAAGCGUCUGUAGGUGGCUUUUUUAAGUCCGCCGUCAAACCCAGGGGCUCAACCCUGGACAGGCGGUGGAAACUACCAAGCGGAGUACGGUAGGGGCAGAGGGAAUUUCCGGUGGAGCGGUGAAAUGCGUAGGAGUAGUCGGAAAGAACACCACGGCGAAAGCAAG
rnacentral:rRNA from 1 species